UUCCUACUGCUCUAGCCCUGCAGCCACACCGCAGAAUACAAAUGCCGGGCUGACGCACGCGCUUGGCGCUCGGCUCGCUGCCCCAGGGACCGUCAGCGGGCUGCAAGCCUUGAAGGGCUGGAGGCUCGUUAACACCAGGCUUUAAAUAACUGUGGUGCUGGGGGAGCGGGUGCUGUGUGUAGCUGCGGUGUGUAUUUAUGCGUGUGAGCGCGUUUGGUUUGACAACGGGAGUGAAAGAGCACUUGUUCCUUUGCUUCUCAGGCAUCACCAGCGUUGUGCUUCCCAGCAUGCCCUAGAAUCCCUUCAAACAAGCAUUCGCUGUAGCAGAAAGUCCAAGAAAAGGCUUACUCCCUUGAGGAUCAAGAAGAAAGCAACAGUGAAGAAAGGACCGGUGGCAGCACGGAGAAUACGGAAAGCAGAUAAAGAGGAAAAUGAGGAGGUGGAGGUGAGCAGAAGGCAGCUCAGAAAAUUGCACAAGCUGUGGGGAAUUUUUGCAUCUAGCCACUCACACACCGCAAAGGGAGUGACUCUGCCAUCUGCAUCUCCUCUGAAAAAAAAAAAAAAAAAAAAA